GGCAGAGCUGCAGCAGCUGUGGGUGCAGGAGGUGGUGGACUCCAUGGUGAAGAGUCUGGAGAGAGAGAACAUCUGGAAGAUGCAGGGUCUCAUGUUCCGGUGCAGCACCAGCUGUUGUGAGGACAGCCAGGCCUCCAUGCAGUAGGUGCACCAGUACAUCAAAGCACUGCCAUGUGCCUCUGGCUCAAGCCCGGGCUUUGCUCACCAGUGAGUUGGAGAAGUUCCGGCACCACCUGGCCCGGUGCGCCAUGCAUUGCAACAACAAAGCCAAAGAUUCAAUGGAUACUGGGAGUAAGGAGCUUCAGGUGAAGCAGCAGCUGGACGGUUGUGUGACCAAGUGUGUGGAUGACCACACGCACCUCAUCCCAACUAUGGCCAAGAAGAUGAAGGAGGCUCUCUUAUCCAUUGGGAAA
rnacentral:lncRNA from 1 species